AGGCACUCUGUGCAUCAGCAACAAUGCAAACUAUCCGAGCAGCAGACACCAAUCAAAUAAAUAAGUUAAUUUUCCGUGAAUCAAAGAAUGAUAGGAAGGUGGUGCUCCAACUAGAAAAGAAGCUUUUUGAUUACUUUAACCAAGAUGUAUUUCGGCAAAACAAUGGAGUUGAGCUUUUAGAAUUUGACAGAGAGUUGUCGGUAUUCAAAGACAAGUUGAGUGAACAAGAGAUAUCAUUUCCACCAAGGUA